AUUGAACGCUGGCGGCAGGCCUAACACAUGCAAGUCGAACGGUAACAGGAAGCAGCUUGCUGCUUCGCUGACGAGUGGCGGACGGGUGAGUAAUGUCUGGGAAACUGCCUGAUGGAGGGGGAUAACUACUGGAAACGGUAGCUAAUACCGCAUAACGUCGCAAGACCAAAGAGGGGGACCUUAGGGCCUCUUGCCAUCGGAUGUGCCCAGAUGGGAUUAGCUAGUAGGUGGGGUAACGGCUCACCUAGGCGACGAUCCCUAGCUGGUCUGAGAGGAUGACCAGCCACACUGGAACUGAGACACGGUCCAGACUCCUACGGGAGGCAGCAGUGGGGAAUAGUGCACAAUGGGCGCAAGCCUGAUGCAGCCAUGCCGCGUGUAUGAAGAAGGCCUUCGGGUUGUAAAGUACUUUCAGCGGGGAGGAAGGGAGUAAAGUUAAUACCUUUGCUCAUUGACGUUACCCGCAGAAGAAGCACCGGCUAACUCCGUG
rnacentral:rRNA from 1 species